GAUAAACGCUGGCGGCGCACAUAAGACAUGCAAGUCGAACGGAAGUCGUUAUAAAACAGAGAGAAGAUUUAUCGGAUUGAAGUUUUGUAACAAUGGCUUUAGUGGCGGACUGGUGAGUAACACGUAAGCAAUCUACCUAUUAGAGGGGAAUAACAAUGAGAAAUCAUUGCUAAUACCGCAUAAGCUUGUAGUAUCGCAUGAUACAGCAAGAAAAGGAGCAAUCCGCUAAUAGAUGAGCUUGCGGCUGAUUAGCUAGUUGGUGAGGUAAUGGCUUACCAAGGCAACGAUCAGUAGCCGGGCUGAGAGGCUCUGCGGCCACAUUGGGACUGAGAUACGGCCCAG
rnacentral:rRNA from 1 species